AAACAUACAUAUCAUAUAGAUACUAACAAAAGUGAUCGAGACUUUGUAGUUUUGGAUACGAUAAGAGGCAUUUACUUUAAAAAUGGAUUCCUAUGUCAGUAGCCAGUUGGAUAAUCAGAUCGGACAGGAGAUUCAAGGGGGAGUCAAUAUGUUUGAGAGAUUCCUAAUUGAGGCCAUGCGGGAAUGCCUUGAACUGAAAGAGCAGGAGGCGCUGCUACUAGAACCAAGCGAGGCCAAUGUGUGGUGUUCGCGCGCGUGGGACGGAUCGCUAUGUUGGCCACCAAUGAAGAUAGGAGAAAUGAAGCAGGAACGUUGUCCCGAUCUUCUUGCUCGGCACGACACGAAUGAAUUCGUAGUGCGAACGUGUACAGUCUCCGCAGACGAAUCCGAUUUUGGCGGGAGCUCAAUGAGACAAUCAUCUGGAAUUGAAAGAACGCUUUUGAUCAACACGACGGGCGAUGGCUUGAGUGAUUAUUCGAGAUGCGUCGCUUCAAAAACAAGACAUAACGAGAUCGUUCGGCUAUAUCAGGUGCAUAUUCCCUUGGUGAAGAUAAUCAACCGUUUAGGCUAUUCUACGUCUCUGAUCCUGUUACUUGCGGCCUUCCUUGUUUUUUCUAGUUGUCGACGACUACGAUCUGCGCGAAAUCAGCUGCAUUGCCAGCUGUUCGCGUCGUAUGUGCUUCGGGCGAGCGUCAUUCUCACUAAAGACCUUCUUUUUGUGGACGGAGUGGGUUUUCGAAGGGACCUAGAAUCCAACCAAAGAUGUCCGUGGUGUAAGGCGUUUAUGUGCCUCUUUCAUUACUCCAUACUUGCCAACUACGCGUGGAUGUUCGUCGAGGGCCUUUACCUUCACGGACUCGUCUACCGUGCACUGCAUUCGUCACAACACAAAGCAUCCUUCGGAACGCAGGCUACGCUUGCGACCUGGAUUGGUCCGCUAUGGAUCAUCAUCCCAUGGGCAAUUCUUCGAUCAAAACUCGACAAUCGGUUAUGCUGGACAACGAACGAGAGCCUAUGGCUUCUAUGGCUUCUGCAGGCACCAGUUUGUAUUACAAUUGUGCUCAACUUCUGUUUAUUUGUACGCAUCGCUCGAGUGCUUCUAAAUCGCGUUGUACGGCCAGAGGUUCAGCCAGCCUCCACUAGCCAUCAAUACACGUACAGGGAAUGGUUUAGGGCCUCGCUGAUUCUUAUACCGUUACUGGCAUCUCACUACAUUGUGUUGUUAGCUAUGAAUUUACUCGCUAACAUUUUGCCUCCCGUUGUGGAAAUUGUUUGGUUCUACAUCGAUGCGUUAUUUACGUCAUUUCAGGUAAGUUUCAUAUACAGCCAAUUAUAACUUUUAAUAAAAAAAAAACAUUGAAGAUUGACGUAUGCUGCUAUCUCCUGUUGGUUUUAAAAAUGCUGAAAAUCAGACCAAAACGUCCAUCUCAUUUUUUUUUUAAUCAUAAUACUAGACCUACGUAAUUCAACAGUAGCUAACACCUAGCCUGACUGUUGAAUAGUUUAAGAUCUAUUACAGUUUUUAAAAGGUACAAAAAAUCUGCUAUUCACCUGUUGCUCAAGUGAAAUACGUCGUACUCGUAUCAGAAGUCGUACUCGAAGCUCGUCAGAAGUCGUACGUAAUUUUAUAGGUUAUUGCAUAAAACGUAUUUUAAACAUGCAGCGUUGAGCAAUAGAAUUAACGAUUUUUUUUCUACAUUUGCAUUUAGAUUACAAUAGUCAUGCGCUAACUAGUUUCGAUCAGAAAACUCCCCAGUCAGUUCAUACCGGGUUCUCCAAAGAGGAACUCUAUCCCAGACGAUCGCAUACUUUAACUAUAAAGGCAAAAAACUAUCUGUAUUUGAUGGCUACGAUCAAAGUACUCUAUGUAAUACUGCCUACGUCAUAUCGGAAUCCUUGGGAGCUCGACACGUACAAAUCUAGCCCCGUAAAAAUUAAGCUCUGGAAGCAACCGAUAGACGACGCUGAAAAAAUUUUCACCGAAAGAAGAGGGCGGCUUAUCAAAUUUCCUGAAAAUCGAAAUUACCGAAUAUUACUUAAUUUCAUGCGUUCGCCAUAUACUUCAGUCUGUACACGGACGUGCACAAUGCACGACUGCAAGUGCAUCUAACUUUGUUCAACUUAAAUUAAAGAAGCAACAUUAAUAUCUGUAUGGGCAUUUAAUCGAAUUAAUUAACCUUGUUAUUUUCUCCAACAAAGUUCCUCAUAUAACUGCCACAAGUCGUGGUACUAAGAGAAAAAGAUACCUAACGUGUAAUUUUAAUCUACUUCGUGUUAUGGUGCAAGUAUCUUAUUGUUAUGUCGUUUUGAAUAAAAAAAUUUGUAUGUUUCUCUAUAUUAUUCGAAGGCAUUUACUUGUCUGCUUUAAAUAACGUCUGCCUAGCUAUAUUUGUACCGGUCGCACCCCACAGUAGCUCCAGUAAGAAGCGACACUUAACAACGCUACGGCACGAUGAUAUACAAACAAAAAGAUGCGUAGUCAUGAAAUAGAUGUCACGGUAAAAAACGCUGGCACAUAUAUUACAAGAACGAUGUAUACCAUCAGAGGACUAGUGAUAAAGGACGAGGAAUUUUUUGCAGCUGUUAGCCGAAGCUUUUAAAAAGUCCUAUAGAUAACGCAGGCAGACAGUAGAUUGUGGUGUAAUGAAGCGUACGUGUGUUUAUAGAGAUGUUGAAGGUCGGUCAUUUGAUGGCUAGACGCACUGCUGAGGUUAUUUGAGUAAUAAUUUUAUUAAAUCUUUGUUCAUUAACAUGAGCAAUACGAGCACACGACAAUUUUAUGACUUGUCAUGCGGCAAGCAACCCAUCAGUGGUAAAUUAUGAAUUCAUGGAAGCCCAAGACGAACUAAAUAAAAGUCUAGGCAAGUCGUUCAUUUUGACUAACGCUUAUAAACGGUAACGCGUUUUAUGAACACGAGACUCGUAUAUUACAUCAUACAUUACCCUAUAGGCUUGCCCUUUUAUAAUUUUGGCCUCUAGAGCUCACACAUCUACCGUCUUCGGCCGCAACUCUCUUUGCUUAGCAAUGGGAUACUUUAAAAAGAGUCAAAGCCGAGAUCCAGACAAAUGUUUCGGUUGCAUUGCUUUAGGGCCAGAACCUGCUUUACAUUGGAUGCAAUGCGCGACAUCGUGGAAAAAACUGUUUUAUCGACAGCUGCCGGAAAACAUUGAUUUGUGUUAGUGGAAGAUUACCUAAUAUUCGUUGUAAGUUAUGCAACGAUUUUCACCGAAACACGUAGUGAGUGUGGGUAGAGUUGCCACUUAUAAAUGGCGAGAGUGUAACUUAUCUGCCUAGUCAUAGCUUUGUGCAAAGCAAUGUAACGAACUGUAUUUACUACGAUCAUGUUGAAAGUGUCUUCAAAAGUACGCCAUAGCCAAGUUCGUUUUAUAAAAUCAUUUUAAAGUACUUUCUCAGUUUGUGGGUCGAUCACGCAGCGGACGUUGAACCUGAGGUCCUGUCACUUGAGGGUCGGGUAGGUAAACGAGGCCUCAUUUAUUUUGUCUUAGAUAAAACGUUUGUACCAUGUUUAAGUAUUUUCCUACACUGCUUAAAGUAGAACUAAUUAAGAUAGAAAGCCAUAGCUGAACGUAAGUAGUUUCAGAUCUGUAGUGACAAACAAUACUUUUAGGUGAGGAAGGACGUCCGCGACGUCGAAUCAGCUCCUUCAUUGUCUCCGCUACCGAAGCAGUAUCACCUCCUGACAUUAGUAUGAAGGACAAA